AUUGAACGCUGGCGGCAGGCCUAACACAUGCAAGUCGAGCGGAGCGGCGGACGGGUGAGUAAUACCCAGGAAUCUGCCUGGUAGUUGGGGAUAACGUUCGAAAACGGACGCUACUACCGCAUACUUUCAGAUGAGCCUAGGUCGGAUUACCUCGUGGGUCGGGUACUGGCUCACGAAGGCUACGAUCCGUAACUGGUCUGAGAGGAUGAUCAGUCACACUGGAACGGAGACCCGGUCCAGCUUCCUACGAGAGGCAGCAGUGGGGGAUAUUGGACAAUGGGCGAAAGCCUGAUCCAGCCAUGCCGCGUGUGUGAAGAAGGUCUUCGGAUUGUAAAGCACUUGAAGUUGGGAGGCGUUACCGACAGAAUAAGCACCGGCUAACUCUGUGCCAGCAGCCGCGGUAAUAC
rnacentral:rRNA from 1 species